UACAGAGGUCUCAAGCGUUGUUCGGAUUCAUUGGGCGUAAAGGGUGCGUAGGCGGCGCGGUAAGUCGGGUGUGAAAUCUUGGAGCUUAACUCCGAAACUGCAUUCGAUACUGCCGUGCUUGAGGACUGGAGAGGAGACUGGAAUUUACGGUGUAGCGGUGAAAUGCGCAGAUAUCAGGAGGAACACCAGUGGCGAAGGCGGUGCUCUGGGCCGGAACUGACGCUGAGGAGCGAAAGCGUGGGGAGCAAACAGG
rnacentral:rRNA from 1 species